rnacentral:rRNA from 1 species
UACGGAGGGGGCUAGCGUUGUUCGGAAUUACUGGGCGUAAAGGGCGCGUAGGCGGCCCGCUAAGUCGAACGUGAAAUCCCCAGGCUCAACCUGGGAACUGCGUCCGAUACUGGCAGGCUUGAAUCCGGGAGAGGGAUGUGGGAAUUCCAGGUGUAGCGGUGAAAAUGCGUAGAUAUCUGGAGGAACACCGGUGGCGAAGGCGGCAUCCUGGACCG